AGAACGAACGCUGGCGGCAUGCCUAACACAUGCAAGUCGAACGAGACCUUCGGGUCUAGUGGCGCACGGGUGCGUAACGCGUGGGAAUCUGCCCUUAGGUACGGAAUAACAGUGAGAAAUUACUGCUAAUACCGUAUGAUGUCUUCGGACCAAAGAUUUAUCGCCUAGGGAUGAGCCCGCGUUGGAUUAGCUAGUUGGUGGGGUAAGAGCCUACCAAGGCGUCGAUCGGUAGCUGGUCUGAGAGGACGAUCAGCCACACUGGGAUUGAGAACGGCCCAGACUCCUACGGGGGGCAGCAGUGAGGAAUUUUCGGCAAUGGGGGAAACCCUGACCGAGCAACGCCGCGUGCAGGAAGACGGCCUUCGGGUUGUAAACUGCUUUUCUUUGGGACGAGCGAAGGACGGUACCAGAGGAAUCGAGCCCCGGCUCACUACGCGCCAGCAGCCGC
rnacentral:rRNA from 1 species